AACGAACGCUGGCGGCGCGCUUAACACAUGCAAGUCGAACGAGAAGGCGUAGCAAUACGCUUGUACAGUGGCGAACGGGUGAGUAAUACGUGGGCGACCUACCCUCGAGUGGGGAAUAACCCGCCGAAAGGCGGGCUAAUGCCGCGUACGCUUCCAUCUUUAUGGAGGUGGAAGGAAAGCCGUGCCGUGGCACGGCGCUCAAGGAUGGGCUCACGUCCUAUCAGCUUGUUGGUAGGGAACGGCCUACCAAGGCUCCGACGGGUAGCUGGUCUGAGAGGACGAUCAGCCACACUGGCACUGCGACACGGGCCAGACUCC
rnacentral:rRNA from 1 species